UUGUGUUCAAGCGGAAAGAACAAAAUUGUCCCGCAAACUUAAUCGAACAGUUAAAUCAAGAGGCAAUGGAUAAUGCUUUAAAGAAAACAUAUUGAUGUUGGAGAAUAUUUCAAAAAAAUCUAAAUAAAAUGAAAAAUUAACAAAAAAAAAAAAACAGAAUAAAAAAAUAAUUGUAGGAAGAAUAUUACUGAACUAAAAAAGGAAAUAAUUAUCAAAAAAUUAAAAAAAAAAAAAUUAAUAAAAUAAGAUCUCAUACAUAUAAAUGUGUACGUGUGUGUUUUUAUUAAAAAUAAUCAUUGUGCUUAUAACAUAUUUAAUAUUUAAAUAACGCCUAUUUUUAUUGAAUUUUUUCUUUCCUCCACCGCAUUAAUUGAGGAUUUCAACACUUGAUUUGUUUGCUUUGGCCAACCAAACCGUUUGAUUAAUGGGCCACAGCCAAUAGUGUGUGUUUGUAAAUGUGUGCUUGGGCUGCUGAAGAUUUAACUGAAAAUUGGAAUCUUCGAUUUAUUUUCUUUACUAUCACUUCAAGUGUUAAUAAAUGCAAAGCAGUGCUUUUGGCAAGGAAUUUAAUUAUCGGAAGCGUUAUAAAGUUGUUGCUUGAGGCACUUCCUCACCCCUCUGUCGAUGAUACGCACACAAAAUUGUUGUUGGUGUGCGAAAAUAAAGAAAAUAAAUUUGUAAAAUAUAUCCCGCUGAGUGAAGGAAUUCAUUGUGUGUUUACUUUGUAAAUAAGAUUCAACUAAUUUGCGUGAGUGUAAUAAUGAGAAUUCGUUUGUGUGUGUAUGCAACUGUGUGCGUUGCCUGUGCUUUCACAUCGUUCUUCAAGGCACUUGCAUGGAUCAUAACAAUUGAUUUGUGUUAAAUAACUUUGAUAAAUUUGCUCGUAAUUGCAAAACGAAAUUGGAGUUCUUUCAUCUUGGACAAUAAAACAGGUACUGUUCAAAUGUGUAAUCUCUUUAAUCUGCGAGAAGAAAACAGAUACUUUUACUUUGGCCUGUGUAUGCAAAAGCCAUUUGUAUAACAAAAGAAUUCUUCGCAUGACCAAAUUUUGAGGAGCUUAACGUGCAAAAGACCCACUUCAAACUCUACUAUCCUGCUCUCAAGACCUCAGAACAAUCUCACUCUCGUUU